rnacentral:piRNA from 1 species
AAAUGUGACUUGGAAGAUGAAAG